GAAAGCGCCAGUUUCCCUUUGGCUUGGAUUUUACAUCUUGGCGUCAGAAGUAGGGAAAGAGAGAUAGACAGCCAUCACGGGCAGUUGACCUGACCACUGAGUGUUUAUUUCGUCUUUAAAGGAGGCACCUGGAAUAGAUGACCUCUCAGGCUCCUUUCAGCUCCCGAGCUCUCUGGACCUCAGCCAGGUCAGUGAGCUCUCCUUUGGACUAUGCUGUCCAUGGCAGGACUGGGAUGAAGAUGGAGUAUGUGUGCUCAUUUUUCAUGAAUUUUCCCCGUACUUGGAAAUUGAUCAUUUCCAAAUUCCAGAUCCUUGGGCCAGCUAUCCUCUUAUCAUCUUCUUCUUUGGGGGCAGAAAAUGGGAGCAAACAUUUGAGUUGACUCAUGAAACUUAAUUAGGCAAAAGAUAGAGAACUGUUUAAUAAUGUUGGAUUGGACCCCCUCCGGUUGCCUGAGGCUCCUCAUCUGAGCCUCUCCCCUGGUUCCUCUCCUGUUGCCUGCUUCCUCACUCUAACUGUGCCAGACGCUCUUGCUCACAGGACUGUCCCCUGUCCCUGUCCCCACUGUGAGCUCCUGUGUCCCCUGCCCCUCUCUGUGGGGUUGCCUGAUUCAAGGCUCUUGAUAAGUGCCCAUCCUUCUGAGGAGGGGUGAAGGGUGAUGUGUCAGGGUGACUCCCUAGGUGCACCAGCGAGGGGCUUGGUGACCAAAUGGGGGAGCCCCAUGAACACAAUGAAGCCCUGUCCUCCUGUUUUCAUGUAGACCCCAUGGCUCUCCCAGGAGCACACCUGAUAGUGGAUGGUGUUGUGUUCAUUGGUACCUGCUGGGGCCCAGCAUUUAACCGGCAGCUGGAAAAUCUCCUGUGUGCAGCAGGCUGAAAAGAAGGAAAAAUGCCUCUUGCCCCUUUGAGAUAAUAUAAGAAAUUCAAGGUGAAUAAUUGCAUAGUAAGAGUAGAGCCCUAAGGGACUUCCCUGGUUGUCCAGUGGUUAAGAAUCUGCCAUCCAACGCAAGGGACACGGCUUCGAUCGAGGAUGCCCCGGUGGAGGAUGCCCUGAUCCCAUAUGCCUCAGGGCAACUAAGCCCACACACUGCAACUAAGACCCAACGCAACCAAAAAAAAAAAAAAAAAGUAGAACCCCCCUGAAUCAGAAAGGUGGAUUGAAGAAUUUUAAUCUCUUAGGACCUGGGUGUCAGCAGGAAAACAUGGCUGAGCUCUCAAGUCCUGAGGGGCUGUGAGUAUGUGGGCCGUUCUAGAAGUCAGUUAAAGAAGAUAUUGCCUUCAGCAAAGUCACAGGUGCCAGAUAAAUAGCACAAGUGUCUGUUAAAUCAGUGUCAGGCUCAGAGAGAGACUCAGCAUGAGGUUUCCAGAGUCCAGGAAAAGCCUAAAAACUGCAGGACAUCACGUGUUGCUGGCAGCCUUUGGGUUAAAAACCAAAAAAGGUGGUUCUUAAACAAGGUCCCAGAGAGAGCAGGAGCCGAUAUUGAUCCUUCAUCAGCUAAAGCUCAAUGAGGCUGCCCUUCUCAGCUGCAAGUGACCCAGGAAGCUGGACUCCUCUUGGACUGAGCAUCGGUGGAACUACACGUAAAUAAAGAACAUGUGUGUAUUCCAAACUCAUCAAAUUGUGUACAUUAAGUACCUUCAGCUUUUUGUGUGUCAGUCAUACCUCAAUAAAAUGAUUUUUUAAAAAGAAUA